GAUGAACGCUAGCGGCAGGCUUAAUACAUGCAAGUCGAGGGGGCAGCAAUGUCACCGGCGAACGGGUGCGUAACACGUAUGCAACCUACCUAUAUCAGGGGGAUAGCCCGAGGAAACUCGGAUUAAUACCGCAUAACAUUAGGAUCGGCAUCGACUUUAAUUGAAAGAUUUAUUGGAUAUAGAUGGGCAUGCGUAGGAUUAGCUAGUUGGUAAGGUAACGGCUUACCAAGGCGACGAUCCUUAGGGGCUCUGAGAGCAGUAUCCCCCACACUGACAACGGGGUACGCGCCAGCCUCCUGCGGAAGGCAGCAGUAGGGAAGAUUGGGCAAUGGGCGACAGCCGGACCCAGCCAUGCCGCGUGCAGGAAGACGGCCCUCUGGGUUGUAAACUGCUUUUGAAUGGGAAGAAAGGUAUGCUUGCGAGCGUAAUUGACGGUACCAUUAGAAUAAGCCACGGCUAACUACGUGCCAGCCGCCGCAGUAA
rnacentral:rRNA from 1 species